rnacentral:rRNA from 1 species
AGUGGGAGCACCCUUUGGGUGUGACUGCGUACCUUUUGUAUAAUGGGUCAGCGACUUAUAUUCUGUAGCAAGGUUAACCGAAUAGGGGAGCCGGAGGGAAACCGAGUCUUAACCGGGCGUUAAGUUGCAGGGUAUAGACCCGAAACCCGGUGAUCUAGCCAUGGGCAGGUUGAAGGUUGGGUAACACUAACUGGAGGACCGAACCGACUAAUGUUGAAAAAUUAGCGGAUGACCUGUGGCUGGGGGUGAAAGGCCAAUCAAACCGGGAGAUAGCUGGUUCUCCCCGAAAGCUAUUUAGGUAGCGCCUCGUGAAUUCAUCUCCGGGGGUAGAGCACUGUUUCGGCUAGGGGGCCAUCCCGGCUUACCAACCCGAUGCAAACUGCGAAUACCGGAGAAUGUUAUCACGGGAGACACACGGCGGGUGCUAACGUCCGUCGUGAAGAGGGAAACAACCCAGACCGCCAGCUAAGGUCCCAAAGUCAUGGUUAAGUGGGAAACGAUGUGGGAAGGCCCAGACAGCCAGGAUGUUGGCUUAGAAGCAGCCAUCAUUUAAAGAAAGCGUAAUAGCUCACUGGUCGAGUCGGCCUGCGCGGAAGAUGUAACGGGGCUAAACCAUG